rnacentral:rRNA from 1 species
AAGGAUCAUUACAGUAAUAUGGUUUGGGAGGGGUUGGAUGCUGGCCCUCGAGAGGGGGCAUGUGCGCGCCCCUCCCUUUUCCAAUCCCACACACCUGUGCACCUCGCCGAGCGUCUCCCAUUUGGAGCCAUCCUGGUGUUGAAGCAACCUCCCUUCUCGGGGGGGUGUCGAGCCUGGAUCGGGGCGCUCCCCGCCUUUUAUUUUACACCUAUGCCUGUCAUAAACGCAUGUCUUGACGCUCCACGGAGUGAAAUGAAAUACAACUUUCAGCAACGGAUCUCUUGGCUUUCGCAUCGAUGAAGAACGCCGCGAACGUGCGAAACGUAAUGUGAAUUGCAGAAUUCAGUGAAUCAUCGAAUCUUUGAACGCAUCUUGCGCUCCUUGGUAUUCCGAGGAGCAUGCCUGUUUGAGUGUCGUCGAGGAAAAUCAAUCGCUCCCAUCUUGGUUUUGGCCAGAAGGGAGGGCGGUUGGACUUUGGAUGCUUGCGGCUUACGGGCCGCUCGUCUUGAAAUACAUUAGCUGGGUUCUCCCCUUGGAGCCGGCGACGGUGUGAUAAUAAACACUUCGUUGACCUGUGGCGCCGUCAGGCCCAGGGGGGAGUUUGCUUAUGAGCCGUCCCUUUGUGACAAGAAAUGUGUCUCUAGACCUCAAAUCAGGCAGGACUACCCGCUGAACUUAA